GAUGAACGCUGGCGGCGUGCCUAAUACAUGCAAGUCGAACGGACAGACGAGGCGUUUGCUCGUCUGACGUUAGCGGCGGACGGGUGAGUCACACGUGGAUAACCUACCUAUAAGACUGGGAUAACUUCGGGAAACGGGCGCUAAUACCGGAUAAUAUAUUGCACCGCAUGGUGCAUUAGUGAAAGUCGGUUUUGUCGGCGGUUGUAGAUGGAUUCGCGGCUGAUCAGCUUGUUGGUGGGGUAGUGGCUUACCACGGCUACGACGGGUAGCCGACCUGGGAGGGUGACCGGCCACAUUGGGACUGAGAUACGGCCCAGACUCCUACGGGAGGCAGCAGUGGGGAAUAUUGCACAAUGGGCGGAAGCCUGAUGCAGCAACGCCGCGUGCGGGAUGACGGCCUUCGGGUUGUAAACCGCUUUCGCCUGUGACGAAGCGUGAGUGACGGUAAUGGGUAAAGAAGCACCGGCUAACUACGUG
rnacentral:rRNA from 1 species